AUACGUAGGGUGCAAGCGUUAAUCGGAAUUACUGGGCGUAAAGCGUGCGCAGGCGGUUUUGUAAGACAGUGGUGAAAUCCCCGGGCUCAACCUGGGAACUGCCAUUGUGACUGCAAGGCUGGAGUGCGGCAGAGGGGGAUGGAAUUCCGCGUGUAGCAGUGAAAUGCGUAGAUAUGCGGAGGAACACCGAUGGCGAAGGCAAUCCCCUGGGCCUGCACUGACGCUCAUGCAAGAAAGCGUGGGGAGCAAACAGGAUUAGAUACCCUGGUAGUCCACGCCCUAAACGAUGUCAACUGGUUGUUGGGGAUUUAUUUUCUCAGUAACGAAGCUAACGCGUGAAGUUGACCGCCUGGGGAGUACGGCCGCAAGGUUAAAACUCAAAUGAAUUGACGGGG
rnacentral:rRNA from 1 species